rnacentral:rRNA from 1 species
AUUUCUGCCCAAUGAUAAAUUAAAUGGCCGCAGUACUCUGACUGUGCAAAGGUAGCAUAAUCAAUUGGCUCCUAAUUAGAGUCUGGUAUAAAUGAACAUAUGGAAUGCAGCUGUCUUUUAUACAUUAUUAUAAAAUUGGGAGUAAGUGCAAAUCCUUACAAAAGUAAAAAGGACGAGAAGACCCUAGAAGCUUAACUUAAUAUUUUGUUGGGGCGACAGAAUUACAAUAUAACUAAUUUUAAAGUACACGACGCGUACUGAUAGAAUAAGCUACUCUAGGGAUAACAGCAUAAUGCUUCCGUUUGUGACCUCGAUGUUGGACUAGGUAUAAUAUUCCCUAGAAGGGAGUAUGAUUAGCUCUGUUCGAGCUAUGCAACCU